rnacentral:lncRNA from 1 species
GGAGAUUGGCAGUUGAGGCGAUGGACGUACCGUUCGUGCACCUCAUUCCCGGCGGCCGCCCGGCGGCCCGACCCGUCCGCCGCUACUCUGCUCGAUCUUCUCAUUUCAUUCCGGCGUUUCCUGACGCGGUUUCAAUCUCCCGGCGCUGGUUUAGUGAUACUCUCCCACCUUUUCAUUUAACAUGUGUUCGUUUAUGUAAUUUAUUGCUAGAUUAUUUUUUUUUCGUAUGUGUUUUCU